rnacentral:misc_RNA from 1 species
AGCGUCAUUACACCUCUCAAGCGUAGCUGGUAUUGGGUGCUCGCCCCCUAGGCGUGCCCGAAUAGCAGUGGCGGUCCGGUGUGGAUUCAAGCGUAGUAAAUUUAUCAACCGCUUAGGAUGAAGCUCGCGGCCGGCCAAGAACCGCCCCCAACUCUCUCAUAAUUGACCUCGGAUCAGGUAGGGAUACCCGCUGAACUUAA